AACGAACGCUGGCGGCAUGCCUAACACAUGCAAGUCGAACGAGACCUUCGGGUCUAGUGGCGCACGGGUGCGUAACGCGUGGGAACCUGCCCUUAGGUUCGGAAUAACUCCCCGAAAGGGGUGCUAAUACCGGAUAAUGUCUACGGACCAAAGAUUUAUCGCCUUUGGUUGGGCCCGCGUUGGAUUAGCUAGUUGGUAGGGUAAAAGCCUACCAAGGCGACGAUCCAUAGCUGGUCUGAGAGGAUGAUCAGCCACACUGGGACUGAGACACGGCCCAGACUCCUACGGGAGGCAGCAGUGGGGAAUAUUGGACAAUGGGCGAAAGCCUGAUCCAGCAAUGCCGCGUGAGUGAUGAAGGCCUUAGGGUUGUAAAGCUCUUUUACCCGGGAUGAUAAUGACAGUACCGGGAGAAUAAGCUCCGGCUAACUCCGUG
rnacentral:rRNA from 1 species